UGAAUCAGCUAGUAAAUUUAAAUGAUUCAUUCCCCUCUUUCAAAACGAAACAGGAAAAAUAAUUAAAACCUUUCUGACAGACGGAGGAGGGGAGUUUAAAGGAGGUGAUUGGACCUAGAUGGGCGAGUUAGGCAUUCGACGUCUAUACACAGUCCUAUACUUCCCACAACAAAAUGGCAUUGCAGAACGAGACAAUUGGUCAGUUGUGGAGCUGGCACGUAGCGCAAUGUAUGGAAUGAAACUUCCAGUAUCACCUCAAGUCCUCAUUCGUCUAUGGGCUGAGGUAGUUGCCUACUCAGUCUACACCCUGAACCGGACUCUUUCGACACUCGAUCAGUCACGCCAUUCGAGAAACUUUACGGUAUUAAGCCAAACAUCUCACACCUUCGCCAAUUUGGUUGCUCAUGCUAUGUAAAAAUUCUAGACGAAAAACGGCGCAAAUGGGACCCUAAAAAAGAUUGGCCUUUUUUCUUGGCUACGAUGACACCUCAACCGGAAACCGAGUUCUGACAAUCUAAGAUUCGUAAUCAGUCUUGAUGUCGUGUUGGUCAAGACAGAAUCCCCAGCGCAAUCAUAUCAACAGCACUCUUCGUCAAUACCUGGCUUCCCGUACGUCUGUCCUUCUUCCGUUCUGUCCAAAAACUGUAACUAAGACACAUUAUUUAUUUCCAUUGUAUUCGUUCACUGUACAUUUCUGCGUCAUAUUUGACAAUUCUUUAAAAUGCGCGUUACAAAUAAAUCUAAUCUAAUCUAAUCUACGCAAUCCAACAACCAACGUUAAACAAAGCUACGAGUGAAAACGACGCUACUAAAACUAGCACUGGAGGACAAAAGCUCGACAACAAGGAAAAGACGGACAAUGACGGCACAGCUGACCAUGAUGGUCAUGUCAACUAUGUGGGGCUUGGACUUUAGGUUUUGGUUCUUAAUUAAAGUUGCGCUAAACGAAACUGACAGUGCAAGGACACAACGCGAAAUCAUUUCGACACUGCAGCUGAUGGAUCCGUUCAUAUCUGUAUGCCAGUGUGUCCGUGAUAACUUGAAAUUGUCAUUGAUAAGCAAAACGUCCAACGAAAAAGCCACGUCGUUGAUGAGAUUUUUAAUCAGUGAGGAUUAUCCAAAUCAAUAUGUGAUAUCAUUUAUUGUAUCACGCAAAAGAACUGUGUAGAGCUUGCUGAUUGUUUAGUGAAGUGUGGGUUUUCGGUCACCUACUAUCACGGUGGUCUAGAGGAAGAGACACGAAAAGUGUCAGGCGAAGACAAGAUUAUGUGUGCCACCGUUGCUUUCGGUUUGGAUGUCCGAUUUGUUUUCCACUUUUCAAUGCCGAAAUCGAUAGAAUCUUACUAUCAGGAAUGCGGAAGAGGUGGCCGGGAUGGACAAUUGGCUAAUUGCAUAUUAUUUUAUAAAUAUGCAGAUUACUAUGUUCAACAGAAACUCAUUUACUACGAUCCCGAUGGCAAAAAACUCGCUUAUUUUCAGGCUAUGGAGUUAUCAGCUCUUAAAGACAUUGUUUUUUUGCGAAAACCACACCGUUUGCCGCAACGUCAAAAUUGCAAGUUUCCUUGAUGAAUUACCCACUAGCUGCAGUCGUGAUUUACCAAGUUGCUGCGACAUUUGCGGCUCCAACACAAUAUAUGACGAAAUUUAUGUAAUCGAAUAUGUUCGUGAUAUAAGAAAUUCAAUUCGAUCUUCAGCUUCAUCAGCUUCAUCAUUAAAUACAUCGUGAAUGUCUUUCGCUCUGAAAACAAAGGAAGUUGUAUUCCGAAGUUAAUGACUGUGCCAUGUCUGGCAAAGGCCAGGGUUGGAUAUCGGACAAUGCUUAUAGAUUGAUUCAACAAAUUGUUCUGGACAAUGUUCUAGAAGAAGAAUUAGUCUGUGCGGAAGGACGCCAAGCAUACGCCAAGAUUCACCUUGGAAAAUAUUGGCCAUUGCAAAAGUAUCCGUUUUUGAUGUUACAAAAAGAACCAACAGUGCAGUCAAAAAGGUUUAAACCCAGAUAGGAAUUGUCGUUCCAAUCCGGUCAAAUAUGCGCGCCAGUGAGACAACUGAGACGGGCCGUCUCAAAUCGAUCUUAAAGCUGACCCAUUGCUUUAAAUUUGGCAAUUUUUUCCGUCCGCAACCAACUACUUUCACAGUCCCUUGUUACCAUCUCUGGUCCGACCCUUUAAUAGAUUUUGGUUCCAACACAACA
rnacentral:lncRNA from 1 species